rnacentral:pre_miRNA from 1 species
AAUGUACUCCCUCCGCCCGAAAAUACUUGUCAUCAAAAUGGAUAAAAAGAGAUGUAUCUAGAACUAAAAUACAUCUAGAUACAUCCCCUUUUAUCCAUUUUGAUGACAAGUAUUUCCGGACGAAGGGAGUAGCAA